rnacentral:lncRNA from 1 species
UGAUUUGAUGGAGCAGUUGUCUGGUCCCAGCCAGAGGUAUAUCCACCAGAGGUAGGUUGAGGGGGAUAACCAGGGUAAGGUGGCUGAUUCAUGUUAUACUGAGGAGCAGGGCCAGGGUAAGCUCCAGGCUGAAGGUAACCAUAGCCAGGUUGUUGCAUUGGUGGACCAGGAGGAGCCCAGCUUGCAGGAGGCCGAGCUUGGUAACCUUGCUGAGGAUAACCUCCUCCCAUAGAAGAAUUACGCAUACGAUUCUGCAUGAAUUCGAUAUCUUAAAUGAACAAUGCAGAUCUCACUCAAUGCAUACAAUACAACAUACAACGAAGAGAUAAGUGGAAACUGUUACACAGGUACCCAUAAAAGUGCAAAUAACAGAGUAAUCAGUAUUCAAGUUGUGUACACCAAAAGUCAUAUCAUAUUAGCAUACUUCCAUUAAGCAAAGUUAGACGCCUACAUACCGUACUGGGGGGCUGGCACUAUUGAAAUACUCCAGCAGAAGCACAUCCUCUCCUAUUCGAGGCGAAUAGGUACAAAAGAAAAGGCAAGGAAAAACUAUACAGGCCUCAUAUACAAGCAAUCACCCAGAUGAUCUUCUCCAAUAGGAGCAACAGAUGAUAAAUGAAAGUAGCAACGAGAACUUUGAUAGUCUAAAUGUAAAAGAAAAUGAUGCAUCAAAUAUUCUAUCAACAUUCGUCACGCGAAUAUUAUAUUACCCUAGAAGGUUAUGCAAUCAUAUGUACUUUAAAUCACCAAAAGAUUUUCACCAAACUGAGACAAAAACGGCAGAAAUGAAUGUCCAAAAGGAGAUCCAGUUACCAAUUACUCUUCAUGGGAGGGGGGGAAUGCAUGUGAAGAGAAAGGGUAACAGUUAGCAGAGUUUAGAAGACAGUGAGUUUGUUUGGACAAAGAGAUUUUGGAAAAAAAUAUUUUGCCUCACAAAUCCCAAUCAUCUUUUUAUCUUCCCAAUCACCUUUUUAUCUCACAUACAUCACAUCACAAAAAGUGCUACAGUAAAUAUCUCAAAUAAAUCAUCUAAAUAAACUCUUAUCCAAACAAACUCAGUCUAUUCAAGAAAAUAAGGGAUAAAGAAAAAAGGUUUCCAGCAAACAAACCAGAAUAGAGUAACAAGUUAACCUCUUCUGGCUGAAUUUGAGGUUUUACACAUCCAGUUAUCCCCCCACACAACAAAAAUAUAAGAGACAAUUAAUGUUAAAUAGGAAUACGAAGAAAAAAUUCAAAUCGCAAUAACUUCCGAUCAUUUCCCUUGAUUCAAGCUAAAUAAAAUCAAGAAAAUGCCAAGAUAAAUUAUCCAUUUGCCUAUGUUUCAUUUGCAAUCAGACAGAGAGUUAAUGGCAGUCAGCUCCCUUGCAUCUAGGCCAAAUUGGUCCUUAUCUCCACAAUAUGAGGACAUUUGUCAGAAAAGAGGUUCAGAACCAUACCAGAAAAAUGCUGAGGGAACACCAACACUAAAUGGGUCCAUGUUGGUGUCACUAAAGUCCAUUACCUACUAACCCUACAAUUGUUCCCAACAACAAAAUCAGUAUUAAGAUACACAAAAAGAACCAGCAUAAUCCAAGACAAGAAUGUCGGAACCCGAAAGCUAUAUACUCAAGCAUUUCAACUGAGGAUGACUGCAUAACUUAGUUCAAGAUAUAUCCUUCAAUAUCACAAGAACUUUAUAAAGCCUUAGUUACCUCAUGGAAAAGGCUGAUCAGAUACCUGCCUCACACAAAACCACAUAUCCAGAUAUCGAAUAGUUCAAUAUAGGAUUAACGCAUAUAUCUCAAUAACCAAUGAAGCCAUCAACACCACCAAACCUGAACUUUGACUUUCUACUUCCAAGAUCCCCAGUCUUAAUUCCACGACUCAUCAAAACUGAUCUGUAAACAAUAAUGAACUGCAAAAGAAUAUACAGCUUGGAACACCAAAUGUGAUCCUGCAGAGAUAUUCCAUAUGCCAAAAUCUGUUCUCUAUCUAUAUUAGAGAGGUGUACUAAUUUCAGAAUAGCACACCACUAAGAGCCUAUUGUCAAACUGAAACUAAGCAUCUAAACAAUUCAUACUCUGAAGAUAUAUUAUCAUAUUUAAGGAGGGAGAGUUAAAUGGUUGGCAAUACUAGCACUUGCUUUGGACACAUUCGAACCAAGUAUGAUUCAGAAACAGGAAAGAUGUCCAAAAAGUCUGAGAACCUAUCACCUCGCAAAACCCACAGCAUCAGAAAGCCAGCAAUAAGCAAAACAGUCACAUCAAAAUGUAGUUUCCAUGUUGUGAAGUAAGUAACAUCAUAGUAAGGAAGCUACACCCCUAAAAAAAGUCCACUACUUAAAAGCAACACAUAACAAAUAUAAAAAACAACUAAACCAAAAAGGCAUUCAUAUUGCAAUAGCAAAACACAUCUAACUAUCAGAUUGUGAACAAUUUAACUGGAUCUAAAGGCCCAAUAGCAAAGAAAGGGAGGCAGAAAAAAAUAACUCUAAGACCAAACCAUGAAUAAACAGCAGUAUACAUGGUUUAAAUGUUUUGAAAAGAUAAUGGGUUGCAUCUACUUGUUACCAAGCUCAAGCUUGAUCUCCUGUCUGCGUGUGCAGACUAACAAGCAGACAUCCAGGCAAAAGUCCAAAAAAUGAAUCAUAGCAAUCAAAUUUCUUCUCAAGGGCAACUAAAUGCCUGCCAGAGAUGAAACUCAAAUACUUAUGGUCAUCAAAACAU